rnacentral:rRNA from 1 species
CUACUCCUACGGGAGGCAGCAGUAGGGAAUCUUCCGCAAUGGACGAAAGUCUGACGGAGCAACGCCGCGUGAGUGAAGAAGGUUUUCGGAUCGUAAAACUCUGUUGUCAGAGAAGAACAAGUUGGAGAGUAACUGCUCCAGCCUUGACGGUAUCU